rnacentral:misc_RNA from 1 species
UGACUCUGGCAUCGAUGAAGAACGCAGCGAAAUGCGAUAAGUAAUGUGAAUUGCAGAAUUCAGUGAAUCGUCGAAUCUUUGAACGCACAUUGCGCCCGCCAGUAUUCUGGCGGGCAUGCCUGUCCGAGCGUCAUUUCAACCAUCAAGCCCCGGGCUUGUGUUGGGGACCUGCGUCCGACGCAGGCCCUGAAAACCAGUGGCGGGCUCGCUGUCCACACCGAGCGUAGUAACUCACCUCGCUGCGGAGUGGCGCGGGCGCCUGCCGUGAAACCCCCAAUUCCACAAGGUUGACCUCGGAUCAGGUAGGAAUACCCGCUGA